rnacentral:rRNA from 1 species
UACGUAGGGUGCAAGCGUUAUCCGGAAUUAUUGGGCGUAAAGAGCUCGUAGGCGGUUUGUCGCGUCUGCUGUGAAAACUGGAGGCUCAACCUCCAGCCUGCAGUGGGUACGGGCAAGCUAGAGUGCGGUAGGGGAGAGUGGAAUUCCUGGUGUAGCGGUGGAAUGCGCAGAUAUCAGGAGGAACACCGAUGGCGAAGGCAGAUCUCUGGGCCGUAACUGACGCUGAGGAGCGAAAGCAUGGGGAGCGAACAGG